GAUAUGUUAGUGGCCACAUUGAAGACUGGGAUCAAAUUAAUUUAGCAAGGGCUGAAGGUCGCCUCUUCAAUAAACUCAAGUGGCCAAAUGAUCUCAAAUUGAAAUACUUGAUCAAGAGAUUGUAUUCACUUCUGACAAUUAAAGAAUCUGCUGCAAUUGUCCCUAAAAAUUUAGAAGCAAGGCGAAGACUUCACUUCUUUACGAACUCACUGUUCAUGGAAAUGCCUGUUGCACGGCCUGUUUCGGAAAUGGUCUCCUUUAGUGUGUUUACUCCAUAUUACUCUGAGAUUGUACUCUACAACAUGGCUGAACUUCAGAAGAAAAACGAAGAUGGUAUCACUACACUGUUUUAUCUCCAGAAGAUUU